GACGAACGCUGGCGGCGUGCCUAAUACAUGCAAGUCGAGCGAUGAAGAUAGGUGCUUGCUCCUCUUUGGAUAGCAGCGAACGGGUGAGUAACGCGUGGGUAAUCUGCCUUUGAGCGGGGGACAACAUCUGGAAACGAAUGCUAAUACCGCAUAACAACUUUAAACAUAUGUUUCAAGAUUGAAAGAUGCAAUUGCAUCACUCAAAGAUGAUCCCGCGUUGGAUUAGCUAGUUGGUGAGGUAAAGGCCUAACAAGGCGAUGAUACAUAGCCGAACUGAGAGGGUGAUCGGCCACAUUGGGACUGAGACACGGCCCAAGAUCCUACGGGAGGCAGCAGGAGGGGAACCUCGGCCAUGGAGGGAAGGCUGGACGGGGCAAGCCGGGGGGGUGAAGAAAGGUUUCCGAUUGGAAAACCCCGUUGAUAGAGAAGAAAGAAGGGGAGAGUGGAAAGCGCACGAAGUGACGGUACCUAACCAGAAAGCCACGGCUAACUACGUG
rnacentral:rRNA from 1 species